rnacentral:rRNA from 1 species
AUUAAACGCUGGCGGCAUGCCUUACACAUGCAAGUCGAACGGCAGCACGGGGGCAACCCUGGUGGCGAGUGGCGAACGGGUGAGUAAUACAUCGGAAUGUACCCAGUAGUGGGGGAUAACUAGUCGAAAGAUUAGCUAAUACCGCAUACGCACUAUGGUGGAAAGCGGGGGAUCGCAAGACCUCGCGCUAUUGGAGCAGCCGAUGUCCGAUUAGGUAGUUGGUGGGGUAAAGGCCUACCAAGCCUGCGAUCGGUAACUGGUCUGAGAGGACGACCAGUCACACUGGGACUGAGACACGGCCCAGACUCCUACGGGAGGCAGCAGUGGGGAAUUUUGAACAAUGGGGGAAACCCUGAUCCAGCAAUGCCACGUGUGUGACGAAGGCCUCGG